CGUGCCCAAUACAUGCAAGUCGAACGCACAGCGAAAGGUGCUUGCACCUUUCAAGUGAGUGGCGAACGGGUGAGUAACACGUGGACAACCUGCCUCAAGGCUGGGGAUAACAUUUGGAAACAGAUGCUAAUACCGAAUAAAACUUAGUGUCGCAUGACAAAAAGUUAAAAGGCGCUUCGGCGUCACCUAGAGAUGGAUCCGCGGUGCAUUAGUUAGUUGGUGGGGUAAAGGCCUACCAAGACAAUGAUGCAUAGCCGAGUUGAGAGACUGAUCGGCCACAUUGGGACUGAGACACGGCCCAAACUCCUACGGGAGGCUGCAGUAGGGAAUCUUCCACAAUGGGCGAAAGCCUGAUGGAGCAACGCCGCGUGUGUGAUGAAGGCUUUCGGGUCGUAAAGCACUGUUGUAUGGGAAGAACAGCUAGAAUAGGAAAUGAUUUUAGUUUGACGGUACCAUACCAGAAAGGGACGGCUAAAUACGUGCCAGCAGCCGCGGUAAUACGUAUGUCCCGAGCGUUAUCCGGAUUUAUUGGGCGUAAAGCGAGCGCAGACGGUUUAUUAAGUCUGAUGUGAAAGCCCGGAGCUCAACUCCGGAAUGGCAUUGGAAACUGGUUAACUUGAGUGCAGUAGAGGUAAGUGGAACUCCAUGUGUAGCGGUGGAAUGCGUAGAUAUAUGGAAGAACACCAGUGGCGAAGGCGGCUUACUGGACUGCAACUGACGUUGAGGCUCGAAAGUGUGGGUAGCAAACAGGAUUAGAUACCCUGGUAGUCCACACCGUAAACGAUGAACACUAGGUGUUAGGAGGUUUCCGCCUCUUAGUGCCGAAGCUAACGCAUUAAGUGUUCCGCCUGGGGAGUACGACCGCAAGGUUGAAACUCAAAGGAAUUGACGGGGACCCGCACAAGCGGUGGAGCAUGUGGUUUAAUUCGAAGCAACGCGAAGAACCUUACCAGGUCUUGACAUCCUUUGAAGCUUUAGAAGAUAGAAGUGUUCUCUUCGGAGACAAGUGACAGGUGGUGCAUGGUCGUCGUCAGCUCCUGUCGUGAGAAAUUGGGGUUAAUUCCCGCCACGAGCGCAACCCUUAUUGUUAGUUGCCGCCAUUCAAAUGGGCGCCCUACCAGACUGCCGGUGACAACCCGAGGAAGGGGGGGAGAAAAUCAGAACAUAAUGCCCCUUUUAACUGGGGUACCCCCUGCUUCAAUGGGGUUAACACAAAUUGCCACCCCGC
rnacentral:rRNA from 1 species